rnacentral:rRNA from 1 species
UACGUAGGGGGCGAGCGUUAUCCAGAUUUACUGGGCGUAAAGGGCUCGUAGGCGGCCAACUAAGUCAGACGUGAAAUCCCUCGGCUUAACCGGGGAACUGCGUCUGAUACUGGAUGGCUUGAGUUUGGGAGAGGGAUGCGGAAUUCCAGGUGUAGCGGUGAAAUGCGUAGAUAUCUGGAGGAACACCGGUGGCGAAGGCGGCAUCCUGGGCCAACACUGACGCUGAGUGAGCGAAAGCCAGGGGAGCAAACGGG